CACCUCUUCAAGUUUUCAUAAACUGAUUUUAGAUUGUAAAGAUUUUCUUUUAUUGGGCCCUUAGGGUGAUGAGAUGCCCUCUGAAUUUGUAGUGAAGAGGGGUUGUAGCUUGGUCACAAGGCUGCUGGGUCUCCAUUAGGUUUCAUCUUCAGUUGGCUUGUUACAGGGGCUUGGGUAGUUGUAAUUUCCAUUUUAUUUUUGGACAGACUGCAUAUCCUUCGGGACUUUGCUCUGUAGGGCAGACACUAGGGCAUGUUUUUGCAGUCAGGUCUGCAGAUGCUGGGCCUUAAAUCAGGAUGUGGAUGAGUGUGGCUUUCAGUGAGUACCAGAGAGCAUUUCCUCAGGUAACUGUGUGGGUUUCUAUAUAGGCAGGACUGACCAUGAACUGUGGCUCGUGUAACGGAAACUGAGUCAGUGAACUGUUUCAGGGACCAUGGUAAAGGCCAAGGUAUGCAGGCCUGCCUACAUGGCUGUAAAUAGAUGCCUUCCUCCAGGUCUCUGGAAUAGCAGGACCUCUGCCAGACUCUGGCUUGGGAGGAGUUUGUGGUGGCUACAGAGUAAGUUCAGAAUUCUCAGUGGGACCAAGUUGGGUGAACCCUAUCCUGGUCUGUAGCCAAGAACAGGGGUCCUGUAAUUUCCCACCUGAAUGAGGGCCUGCCUUCUGAAUAGAACACGUCUCGAACUUCAGCUUUAAUAGGGUUUCACAACUGCAUCCCUGGAUCUCACAUCUCUCUUAGAGGCACUUAUUUUGGAGAUGACGUCUUGCUACAUAACCAAGGCUGGUCUCAAAAUCCUGGCCUGAAGCAUUUCUCUCCAACAGUAAUGUACCAUGUAGCUGUCAUUACAGAUGUGAACCAUAAUGCCUGGUUGUCUCAUAAAGUCAUUUUUGGUCAGGGAUGGCUGACUUUUUUUGCUAUAAGGGGAUAUGAAAAUAGAGCACUUUUAUUAUUUUCAUCUUACUGAUGUCACUCUCCUUAUACCUUUUUUCUUUCUAUAUUCUAUUUCAAAUUUGUAAUUUUAGAUUCAGUUAUUUAGGAUAAUAUGCUAGAAUUUGCAUGGUAUGCUGAAAGUAAAUUAGAUAAUUAGUAAGCACUCC
rnacentral:lncRNA from 1 species